CUCACUGCAAUCUCUGCCUCCCAGGUUCAAGUGAUUCUCCUGCCUCAGCCUCCUGAGUAGCUGGGAUUACAGGCAUGCACCAUGAUGCCCGGCUAAUUUUUGUAUUUUUAGUAGAGACAGGGUUUCGCCAUGUUGGCCAGGCUGGUCUCGAACUCCUGACCUCAGGUGAUCUGCCCACCUUGGUCUCACCAAAGUACUGUGCUGGGAUUCCAGGCAUGAGCCACCACGGUCGGCCAGAAACACCUUUAAAAAGACAAUACUACAUCAUGAUCAGGUGGGUUUAAGAGUCUGGAAUCCCAAGUCCAGCUGUCUGGGUUUAAAUUGAAGAUGUUCC
rnacentral:lncRNA from 10 species